rnacentral:rRNA from 1 species
AGUGAACGCUGGCGGUAGGCCUAACACAUGCAAGUCGAACGGCAGCACAGUAAGAGCUUGCUCUUACGGGUGGUGAGUGGCGGACGGGUGAGGAAUACAUCGGAAUCUACUUUUUCGUGGGGGAUAACGUAGGGAAACUUACGCUAAUACCGCAUACGACCUACGGGUGAAAGCAGGGGAUCUUCGAGCCUUGCGCGAUUGAAUGAGCCGAUGUCGGAUUAGCUAGUUGGCGGGGUAAAGGCCCACCAAGGCGACGAUCCGUAGCUGGUCUGAGAGGAUGAUCAGCCACACUGGAACUGAGACACGGUCCAGACUCCUACGGGAGGCAGCAGUGGGGAAUAUUGGACAAUGGGCGCAAGCCUGAUCCAGCCAUACCGCGUGGGUGAAGAAGGCCUUCGGGUUGUAAAGCCCUUUUGUUGGGAAAGAAAAGCAGCAGGUUAAUACCCCGCUGUUCUGACGGUACCCAAAGAAUAAGCACCGGCUAACUUCGUG